UAGCUACAGGCUUAACACAUGCAGGUCGAGGGGCAGCAUGGUCUUAGCUUGCUAAGACUGAUGGCGACCGGCGCACGGGUGAGUAACACGUAUCCAACCUGCCGUCUACUCUUGGACAGCCUUCUGAAAGGAAGAUUAAUACAAGAUGGCAUCAUGAGUCCGCAUGUUCACAUGAUUAAAGGUAUUCCGGUAGACGAUGGGGAUGCGUUCCAUUAGAUAGUAGGCGGGGUAACGGCCCACCUAGUCUUCGAUGGAUAGGGGUUCUGAGAGGAAGGUCCCCCACAUUGGAACUGAGACACGGUCCAAACUCCUACGGGAGGCAGCAGUGAGGAAUAUUGGUCAAUGGGCGAGAGCCUGAACCAGCCAAGUAGCGUGAAGGAUGACUGCCCUAUGGGUUGUAAACUUCUUUUAUAAAGGAAUAAAGUCGGGUAUGCAUACCCGUUUGCAUGUACUUUAUGAAUAAGGAUCGGCUAACUCCGUGCCAGCAGCCGCGGUAAUACGGAGGAUCCGAGCGUUAUCCGGAUUUAUUGGGUUUAAAGGGAGCGUAGAUGGAUGUUUAAGUCAGUUGUGAAAGUUUGCGGCUCAACCGUAAAAUUGCAGUUGAUACUGGAUAUCUUGAGUGCAGUUGAGGCAGGCGGAAUUCGUGGUGUAGCGGUGAAAUGCUUAGAUAUCACGAAGAACUCCGAUUGCGAAGGCAGCCUGCUAAGCUGCAACUGACAUUGAGGCUCGAAAGUGUGGGUAUCAAACAGGAUUAGAUACCCUGGUAGUCCACACGGUAAACGAUGAAUACUCGCUGUUUGCGAUAUACGGCAAGCGGCCAAGCGAAAGCGUUAAGUAUUCCACCUGGGGAGUACGCCGGCAACGGUGAAACUCAAAGGAAUUGACGGGGGCCCGCACAAGCGGAGGAACAUGUGGUUUAAUUCGAUGAUACGCGAGGAACCUUACCCGGGCUUAAAUUGCAGAUGAAUUACGGUGAAAGCCGUAAGCCGCAAGGCAUCUGUGAAGGUGCUGCAUGGUUGUCGUCAGCUCGCGCCGUGAGGUGUCGGCUUAAGUGCCAUAACGAGCGCAACCCUUGUUGUCAGUUACUAACAGGUUCCGCUGAGGACUCUGACAAGACUGCCAUCGUAAGAUGUGAGGAAGGUGGGGAUGACGUCAAAUCAGCACGGCCCUUACGUCCGGGGCUACACACGUGUUACAAUGGGGGGUACAGAGGGCCGCUACCACGCGAGUGGAUGCCGAUCCCCAAAACCUCUCUCAGUUCGGACUGGAGUCUGCAACCCGACUCCACGAAGCUGGAUUCGCUAGUAAUCGCGCAUCAGCCACGGCGCGGUGAAUACGUUCCCGGGCCUUGUACACACCGCCCGUCAAGCCAUGGGAGCCGGGGGUACCUGAAGUGCGUAACCGCGAGGAGCGCCCUAGGGUAAAACUGGUGACUGGGGCUAAGUA
rnacentral:rRNA from 1 species